ensembl:lncRNA
UGUUUAUAAGAGGAGAGGCAGUCACAAGCUCUUGGCUCAAAAUACAAUUCUGUUUAUAAGAGGAGAGCAGCGUCAAGCAUCUUGGUCAAUAAACAUAUUCUGUUUAUAAGAGGAGAGCAGCGUCAAGCAUCUUGGCUCAAAUAACAUAUUCUUGUUCUAAGAGGAGAGGAGCGUCAGCAUCUUGGCUCAAAGAAACAUAUUCUGUUUAUAAGAGGAGGAGAGGAGCGUCAAGCAUCUUGGCUCAAAGAACAUAUUCUGUUUUAAGGGAGGAGAGGAGCGUUCAAGCAUCUUGGCUCAGAGAACAUAUUCUGUUUAUAAGGAGGAGGAAGGAGCGUCCAGUAUCUUGGUACAAGAAAAAUUUCUGUUUUAUAAGAGGAGAGCAGAGCUCAAGCAUCUUGGUACAAAUAACAUAUUCUGUUUAUAAGAGGAGAGCAGCGUCAAGCAUCUUGGCUCAAAUAACAUAUUUCUGUUUACAAAAGGAGGAGAGCAGCGUCAAGCAUCUUGGCUCAAAUAAACAUAUUCUUUUAUAAGAGAGGAGAGGAGCGUCAACGCAUCUUGGCUCAAAGAAACAUAUUCUGUUUAUAAGAGGAGGAGAGGAGCGUCCAGUAUCUUGGUACAAAAGAAAUAUUCUGUUUAUAAGAGGCGGCAGCUUCAAGCAUCUUGGUACAAAGAAACAUAUUCUGUUUAUAAGAGGAGGAGAGGAGCGUCAAAGCAUCUUGUACAAAGAACCUAUUCUGUUUUAAGAGGAGAGCAGCGUCAAGCAUCUUGGUCACAGAACAUUCUGUUUAUAAGAGGAGAGGAGCGGUCCAGCAUCUUGGUACAAAGAACAUAUUCUGUUUAUAAGAGGAGGAGAGGAGCGUCAAUCAUCUUGGUACAAAGAACAUAUUCUGUUUAUAAGAGGAGAGCAGCGUCAAGCAUCUUGGUACACAGAACAUAUUCUGUUUAUAAGAGGAGAGCUUCUUGGUACAAAAACAUCAUAGUACAUAUUCUGCUGUUCUAUUGUGCUUGCGAUGAUGUCAGAGGGGAAAAAACAUUGGUGGUUGUUGUCAUGACACUCCUGUGAUGAUCUGAAGGAUCAGGUUACAGGGGGGUCCGCUCUACAGCGUGCUCUCUCUCCUAGCGGGGGAGAGCGGGAAGUCGGCUGUUUAAUGGGCAGUCAUAAAAUACGCUGCCUCUAUGCUGUGUAGUGUUCGAGAUUGGAAUGUAAACAGUGGAACACAGAGACCCUUGGACAACAAAAGUUUGAAUAAUGAAACAAUAUUUCUAUUUUGAGAACGUGGGAAUGGUCUGUGGAUAUUUAAGGGACAGUCAUGUAGAGUGUGUUUCAUUUGGUGAUCUCAUGAAGGACAAGAAACACACAUAACUGUAUCUUUAAAGUGUACAUUUACCAGCUGUCAGGUUCACAUAUAAAUUUGGUGAAACGUAUGUGAUUCAACAAGAAACUAUUUGUGAAAAUAUGUAAUGUGAUGUUCACUUUCUAUAGAUUUUCAUAUAAAGUUUAACUAGUCAGUGGCCACACCCCCAUGAUCCCAGACAUAACAUUAGGUGUCAUAGAACCGCCCCUUCUUCCACAGAGUAUAAAACCCACUUCCUACUAAAUGUACAUUAAGUCAGAGAACGCCGG